rnacentral:misc_RNA from 1 species
UCCCGGGUAAUAAUUUGAAGAAGCCCAAUUCGGUUUUUAGCCCGAAUAACGAAAAGGGUCGUGUCUAAAGCGUCGUCGUUUUGGACACUGAUGGUUGAGCUAGAGGUACAAGUUGUUUCAGUGACAACUUGGUUAGAGCUAGAAGUAGUACUUGAGACUUUCACAUGGGUGAAGGCAUUGGAGAAGAGUGAAGUGGAAAAUGGACGGUUGAGAUUGAAGAUUGAGGGGAAUUGAAGGUUGGCUUGAGGUGAUCGGACGGCCAGGAGAGGAACUGCAAUGGCAGCCAUUGCUGAAAAGUUGAAGGAUUCUGAAACUCAAGUGUAGUGAAGUAAAUCAGUCAUCACGGG